AUAUAUAUAUAUAUAUAUAUAUAUAUAUAUAUAUAGGGCCAUUCCAAUGAGAGUAUUCCUUUUUUUUGUUUAUUUCUAGAGAAGGGCCCUGUAUAUAUAUAAAUGAUAAUGUCUUAUAUAACGAUAAAAUAGACAGACGGGCUGUCAUGAUCUCUUACCUUCUAAAAAUAAUAAGAGUUGAGAUUGAUGAAAUCUUGUUUAUUAACGUGUCGAGCGUGGAAUAUUUAUGACUUUUACCAGCCGGUAGGCGCGCACAAUCUCUAUCUCACUCUCUCCACAAAAGUAGUACCCGGUGAUCUUAGACCGACACUUAUAAGUUAUAAUUAAAAAAUUUAAUUUAUACCGUUUGACAGUUGUCGAUUUA
rnacentral:lncRNA from 1 species